rnacentral:lncRNA from 1 species
ACUGAAGCUCGCGAGAGGAUCCUGGGGGCAGGCGCGUCGCGGUGGCAGUGUUUCUUGGGUGUGCGGGGCCGGGCGCCCCGUAGCCUCUGGUGAGCGAAAGAGACCGGGGCCGAGCGGGCGCAGGCUUGCCGGGGCUGCGGGCUGCGCUGGCGGCGGGGCCGGGUGGCGGUAGUGGCGGGAGUGACUGGCGGGAAUCCCCGCGGCCCCGGCGCUUGGGCUUACUGUGCACUUGAUGUAAGGGGAAAGUCGCUCGUCAACUGCUUGAAGGGCAGUUUUGCGGUCAUAUUUAUACCCAUUUUUAAUCGCAUGCAGAUUAAGGGGCGGCUUAUGCAGAACUUUCUAGGGAAGGAGUAGUACUUUUGGGUCAUUGGGUCACUGCCAUGGAAAGGUGCAGUAACUCCGGGGUGUUGCCAUGGCAAUGGUAAAUUGACGUGGGCACACUGGUGGGUGUGUCUGAAGGGCUUGUUGUUAGGGUGAACUGGGGACUAGAAAUGGGAUGCGGGCGGGAGGAAAGUAGUGUAGGUGCAGGUGGCAGUCAUAAGUGUCCCAUAAGUCUGAAUGUCUGAAUGUCUGAACUGUGUAGAUUUAAGGAGCAUUAAAGAGGCAAAAUAAUAGCAAGUGCUUGUGUAAUGCUUAGCGUGGGCCAGGCACUGUUCUAAAUGCUUGUUUCAUUUAAUCCUGACAGCAACCUUAUGAGGUAGGUACUAUUAUUCCUAUUAAGAAAAAAUGAGAGGGGUUAAUCUGCCUAAGCGCAAACAGCCCCUAAGUGGCAGAGCCAGCAUGGAAAUUCAGGCCCUGAGGCUUUUUUCAGGCUGUGUUACCAGCUCUUCCUCUCAAAGACGACUUUGAAGAGUAAGGGAGAGAGAGAAGGCAAGGAGCAUUCAAAAAUUGGGAAGACAGUUUGAAUAUUCAUCAGAGAGAUCCUUCCAGGGAGAUACUGAGGACGAGGACUAGAAAUAUAAGGCCAGCAGAAAUCAAGGAUGUAAAAAUCUCCCUAGAGAAGAAAAGCCAGAAAGGUAAAGAAUUUGAUAACUUCUUUAAUCUAAGCUCAAAAAGUAUUUCACAUUCGAGAAUUCACAGGGAGAAGAACAAGGGGCCAGUUUCAGAAGUCAAAAUACAAGUCACAACUUACGAAAGGCUUCAGAGUGUAGCCCCUCUGGCAGCCAGGUUUAGAGAAGCCCUAGCGGGGAAGGGAAGUGCAAAGAGGCAUCAGGGAAGCCAGGCAGGACCCAGAGCAAGGAGAAGGAAGAGAGUUUCCACAGGUGUUGCCUUCAGAGACAGGAGUGCCCUUGACAAGGAAAGAGGGCAACAAAACUACCCAGGAGAGAAACCCUUUAUCUGUAAGGAGUGUGGAAAAGCCUUUGGUCAGAGUGCAAGCCUUAUCGUGCACCAAAGAAUUCACACAGGGGAGAAACCUUUCCUAUGUAAUGAAUGCGGAAAAGGUUUCAGACAGAGAUCACACCUCAUACGACAUCAGAGGAUCCAUACUGGUGAGAAACCCUAUGAAUGCCAGGAAUGUGGGAAUACCUUCAGCCAGAGCUCAAAUCUCAUAGUUCAUCAGGGCAUCCACACUGGAGAGAAAUCUUUUGAAUGUGGUAAGUGUGGGAAAGCCUUCAGCCGGAGUUCAGGCCUCACUGUCCCUCAGAGGAUCCACACGGGGGAGAAGCCAUUUGAGUGUAAUGAAUGCGGCAAAGCUUUCAGUUGUAGUUCAUACCUUAUUGUGCAUCAGAGAAUUCACACAGGGGAGAAACCCUAUCAGUGUAAUGAGUGUGAAAGAGCCUUUGGCCAGAGCUCCCAUCUUAUUCUCCAUCAGACAACUCAUGCCCAGAAGAAACCUCAGCUGGCUACUUGGGUUAGGGCCCACUGUUAAUGGGGCAGAGUUGAAUGGUCAUGUUAUAUGCUUGCCUUCAGCCAGGCCAGCAUCUCAUAAAUACUAGGAAGUAUGUGAGAGGUCAUGGACUGUUCAUUGCUGGAAAUCUGGGUCCACAAACUCACUCUGCUUGUAUGGUGUUUUAUUCACUUGCCUUGUUUUUGUACAUGUGCCUCCAGUCAGAUUUGGAGUUCCAAGAGGUAGAUGCCAGGUCCUGUCUUCCACUUUGAUUGACAGGAAACUGAGGAGCUCUUCAUUUCUACAAAGUUGAUUAAAUUUUAAUUCAUUGAGAACUUCCUCUUAUCAAGAAACUCUUAAUCUGAUAAUCUUGCAAGAUCUCACCUGCUUUGAAGAUUUGUAAUUUUUCCAAUGUAACUCCAGCACAUUAAAGCUUACUUACUUUUCAUUGUUAUUUCAAAGCUUUAAUGUGCUAGAGUUGGGAAGCUUAGAAGGCCCACUGUGAGCAGUACUAAAAUUUAGAAUGUCACAUCCUCAUUCAAAUGUAGGCUGCCUUUAGGAGUGACCAAAACAGCGAAGGAUACAUAGGAUGAUAGAAUCAUGAAUCAAAGGAACCCUACCAGACCAGAACUGCAGACCAAAGUUAACAAGAUGAAGUAUUAAACCCUGUCCAUAGGGCUAAGGAGUCUGAGCCUCUCAGAACAGAAGUGUUCUGUCAGAAACACUGCAAUCCUUGACCAUUAGACAUGCUAGAGGGGUGUCUUUAAAAAUAUCCUUCUCUCUCAUCUUCAGUUGCUAGCUGCUCAGGGAUGAGAUCCUAGUCUUAAGGCCUGUUCUCUUCUCUCUAGACCAUAGAGCUUGACUUUUCCUUACAAGGAAAUAAAACAGAUCAUGUGUGUGUAUAAAAUUAAAAAGUAAUAUCCUAAUCAUCUGCCACUUACACAAAAAGAAAUUUAUUACCUUUAGACUAAAGGAAAAAUAUAAUAGGAAUGCAAUAUGUCUCGGUAUGUGCAGUCAUGUGCCACAUAAUUAUGUUUUGGUCAACAACAGACCACAUAUUUGAUGGUAGUCUCAUAAGGUAAUGGAGCUGAGAAAUUCCUAUGGCCUAGUGACUCUGCAGCUGUCAUAAUGUGGUAGCACAAUGCAUUACUCACAUGUUUGUGGUGAUGCUGGUGUAAAGCUGACCAUGUUGCCAGUUAUAUAAAAGGAUAGCACAUGCAGUUAUGUACAGUGCAUAAUACUUGAUAAAUAAAUGACUGUGUUACUGGUUUAUGUAUUUUACUGUGCUUUUCAUUGUUAUUUCAAAGUGUGCUCCUUCCACUUAUUUUUUCAAAGUUUACUGUAAAACAGUAUGCUGUGUUUGACCAGCAGCAGCCUCAUCUAUCUCAUGUUUACCACAUCUCUUGACUGCAUCAUUUCCUCUUGUGCUUGAUUUAAUCUCAUGUUUUGUUCAUCAUGUCUCCUAAGCAUUCAAAAUCCAUGGCUAAUUUUGCCAGUAAGAGGCCAUGCUGAGUAAUUGACCUGGAAACAAAAUUAAAAGUGAUUAAGGACUGUGAAGGUGGAAAAUCAGGGAUGGUUAUUGCUCACCAGUCAGGCAUGUCCCGUUUUACCAUAGCUGCCAUCCUAAAGAACAAGAGCAAAGUGAUAGAAGCUGUUAAAGGAUCUGCUUCAUUGAAGGCAAUGAGACUAACAAAAAUUUGAGAAGGGCCAAUAUCAGAUAUGGAUAAUAUCUGAUAUUGACCUAGAUUGAAGACCAGACACACAAGCAUGUCCCUCAGCACCAUGACAAUCACAGCUAAAGCAAAAAGCUUGUUUGUUACGUAGAUAGAAAAGGCUGGACCUGACUAUAUUGUUGAAUUUAUUGCUAGCUCUGGGUGGUUUAAAUGAUUCGAGAAUUGUUACUCAUUACACAAUUGUGAAAGUGAGUGCUAAGUCUACAAGUGCUGAUGUGAAGGCAGCUGAAUAAUUUUUGGAAACUCUAGAUAAGCUGAUUGUGGGGGAAAAUUACUUGCCAGAGCAAAUCUUUAAUAUGGAUCAAGGCUCCCUAUUCUGGAAAAAGAUGCCGGAAGGGACUGUCAUCCAUAAAGAGGCCAAGUCAGUGGCAGGUUUCACGGCUUUGAAGGACUGGCUAACAAUGUUUGGGGGCGAUGUUGCUGGCCACAAAUUAAAACCCUUUGUGAUUUGACACAGUGAGAACCCCAGGGCCUUCAAGCAUAUCAGUAAGCACACACUGCCGGUGUACUACAUGAGCAAUAACAAGUCAUGGAUGACCCAGCUUCUCUUCCAAUAUGCCCUCCUGAAUUGCUAUGCCAGUGAAAUGGAGAAGUACUGUUUGGAGAAUAACAUACCUUUCAAGAUUUUGCUUGUUGUUGAUAAUGCUCCUGUACAUCCUUUUAUUGGUGAUCUUUGUUUUAAUAUCAAACUGGUGUUUCUCCCUCUAAACAUCAACUCUUUGAUCCAACCAGUGGAUCAAGGAGUUAGAGCAGUUUUUAAGGCUCACUACCUAAAGCGGACGUUGCCCCAGGCUAUUGCUGCUAUUAUCUGAGGGAGACACUGAGAAGACACUAAUGCAAUUCUGGGAGGAUUACAGCAUCUAAGACUGCAUCAAGAACCUUGCUUAGGCUUAGGGUGAUGUCACCAAUGAGUGUAUGAAUGGCAUCUGGAAGGAGACACUCGAGGUUUGUUCAUGACUUCAGAGGAUUUGCCAUGGAUGACCAGGUUGCAAAAAUCCACAAGGCUGUGGUUGAGAUGGCAAACAGCUUUAACCUGGGUGUGAAUGAGGAUGACAUUGAGGAGCUCCUAGCGGUGGUUCCUGAGGAAUUGACUAAUGAGUUGUUGGAAAUAGAACAGGGACACAGCUGAAGAAGAGGCAAGAGAAAACAAAACUGCAGAAAACCACCAUCAAGAAAAUUUGCAGUAGGGAGUUUAGCAGAAGCUUUUGCAGACCUCAAGAAACUCCUUAAAAAGUUUGGGCCGGGCGCGGUGGCUCACUCCUGUAAUCCCAGCACUUUGGGAGGCCAUGGUGGGAAGAUCACGAGAUCAGGAGUUCAAGACCAGCCAGACCGACAUGGUGAAACUCCAUCUCUACUAAAAAUACAAAAAAAAAAAAAAAAAAGCCUGGGUGUGGUGGCACGCACCUGUAAUCCCAGCUACUAGGGAGGCUGAGGCAGGAGAAUCACUUGAACCUGGGAGGCAGAGGUUGCAGUGAGCCGAGAUCGUGCCACUGCACUCCAGCCUGGGUGACAGAGCAAGACUCAUCUCAAAAAAAAAAAAAAAAAAAAAAUUGAAAACAUGGACCCCAACACCAAAAGGUUUUCAUUAAUAGAGAGGAAUGUUCAUGGUGCAUUAUUUGUUUACUGGCAAAUCUAUGAUGAAAAAAGGAAAUACCAAGCAAACCACCAUGGACAUAUUUCUGAAAAGAGGGACACCUCCUUAAGAAGAGUCCCAGGCAGGUCCUUCAUGGGUAUUUCAGAAGAGGGCAUUGCUAUCAUAGGAGAUGACAGCUCUGUGCAUGUUACUGCCCGGGAAGACCUUCCAGUGGGACAAGAUGUGAAGGUGGAAGAUGAUGAUAUUGAUGAUUCUGACCUGUGUAUGCCUAGGCUAAUGUACUUGUGUCUUAGUUUUUAACAAAAAGUUGAAGUAAAUAAUUUAAAAGAAAAAUGCUUAUAAAAAUAAAAUAUUUUUGUAUAGCAUUACAGUGUGUGUUUUAAUCUAAGUGUUAUUACAAAAGUCAGAAAAUUUUAAAAGUUUAGUAAAAAGUUAACAUUAGGUUAACUUAUUGAAGAAAGAAAUUUUUAAGUAAAUUUAGUUUACUCUAAGUGUACAGUAUUUGUAAAGUCUACAGAAGUGUACAGUAGUAUCCUAGGCCUUCACAUUCACUCGCCACUCACUCACUGACUCAUCCAGAACAACUUCCAGUCCUGCAAACUCCAUUCAUGGUAAAUGCCCUAUAUAAGCAUACUAUUUUUUAUCUUUCAUACCAUAUUUUUACUGUACCUUUUCUAAGUUAUUUUUAGAUAUACAGAUACCAUUUUGCUACAGUUGCCUACAGUAUUCAGUACAAUAAUACACUGUACAAGUUUGUAGUCUAAGAGCAGUGGGCUGUACCACAUAGUUAGGGUGUAGUAGGGUGUAUAUCAUAUAGCCUAGGACUAUACCACAGAGCCUAGGAUGUACUUAGACUUGCCAUCUAGGUUUGUUUGAGUACACUCUAUGAUAUUCACGCAACAAUGAAAUCACCUAACAAUGCCCUUUUCAGAACUCUCCAUUGUUAAGCAGCACAGGACUGUAUUGUAAUGCUGGUUGCUGCCCACUGCUAUGAGUUUAGCCCUCCAAUUAAGUCAGGAACUGGCCCUCUCUUGGGUGUGGAUUUAUAGUCCCCAACACUAGAGGGUCAAUUUUAGAGAUUUUUAACAAACUGGAAGGUUGACUUUCAAAAUGUCUCCAGUUCCUUCUAGGUCAAUUCCAGCAUGAGAUAUACUUUAUCUUUCAAUCACUAGUAGGCAAAAAAGGGGUGCUAGGAAUCAGUCACUGGCUUGACUUCUGGCAACAAGGAAAGCCUGAGGUGAAUUACAGUUGCAACAUCUGUCAGCUCAAACUGCAUGGCGUCCGUCACAAGGAGUUGAAAUUUCAAAGUGUAAUAAUUUUUUUAAGUAUAAGAAUAAAAAAUGUCCAUCCAAAGUAUAAGAAAAUCCUUCUUACCAAAUCCCCCUUCUUUUGGCAAACACCAGGGCCCUUUUCCUUGUUAAAACAGCCUAUUUUAACAAAGGCAAGGUGUAGGGUGUGCACAGAAGCCCAGACAUUCAUGAAAGCAACUGCUAAUCUUGUGUGUUUACACAAUAAGCAUCUGAAAUGAGCUGUGUGACUCCUUGGUUUUGGUUUGCAUGAGACUUAGCAUCUGUGUGAAACUGCUAGUUGUCUUGGGCAGACACCUGGCGAAGGAUUGCAGGCCUGAAAAUGAAGGGAAGUUAAUUUUUUACUAGAACAAAAGUUCUAGUAAAAAGGGUUUUGCUUUGGACAUAAGGGCAAAGCAGAACUAAGUGGUGAAAGGACCAAAACACCUCUGCCUGAAUGGAGACGGUGGCCAGGGAAGUGACCACUGCAGCUGUGCAUGGCUCGGUGUGGGCUACAGGCGGAGUAUCAGGGAGACAGUAAAUUGAAUGGAGCGAUGUCCACCCCUGGUGUGGGCUGUGGUGUCCAGACUCAGCAGCCACUCAAUGCCCACAGCCCAGUCCCUUCUCCACUUACUGCAUACCUAUGGGCAAACUUCUUAAACUCUCUGUGCCUCACUGUCCCUGUCUAUAAAAUGGUGAUAUUAACUAUCUAAGGGAUGCAGUGAGGAUUGAGUAAAACACAUUAAGAAGAGCACUGCACAGAGUAAGUGCUUAGUAACUACUGUAUAAAAUAAAACAAUUAUUAUUAACUUGCUUUCCUGCUCUGAGACAUGGCCUAACAGUAACUUAUCUCUAGGGCAGGUCAGCAGGGGAUAACCUGUACAGCCAGAGAAACUGAAACUACCAGGUUUCUCUGGGGGUGGGUGUUGGGGGAGUCCAGGGACUGGAUGAAGUUAAUGUCUGCUGGAAGGUGGGAAGGGCCAAGGGUUUACUCUGCCACUCAUUUUAGAAGAGCUGCGCCAUUCAGGGAAGUGGCAGAGGUAGAAAUUAGAGAGUAGAGAGAUCCAUGUACUACCAGAGGCCAAGCAGCUCUGGGUAGAGACUGGUCUCUGCCCCACAGAGUUAUUCUUUGAUUCUCCACUCCUUGGCCUGCAUACUGGUUAUUCUUGUCUGCACCCCAGAUCCAUCAUCUACCUCAUUGCCCUGGGGCAGAGAUCCCUGUGGGUGGCAUCACCCUGGGUCCCUUACUUCUGGCUUCCUAGUGGGAUGCACUGGUAUGUCAGAGGGAGGCAUGAGAAUGGGACGGGGUACUUCUGUCUGCUACCAUGGUUCUGGCAGUGGCUGUGUCCCUCUGUAACCACAGCUGCAUGGCUCCAGCUACACCAUUUCCUUCCGUGCCCUUUCAAGCUAGGAGUGGCAGAGGCUCUAGUUCUUGCUGGUAUCUGGUGUCUCCCCAUCCCCUCCCCAAACCUCUGUAAAUCACCCUUUCAUUAAACUCUCUCCUUCCUGCCAGGUCCCAGCAGACUAAUAAUUGCUGGCAACUAGGGGAUCUGGAGAGCUGCACUGUAUAUUUUAUUUACUAGACCAGGCUGCAUGACAUUUUAAGCUAAGCACUGCUUAGUGAUGGGGGAAGCACAAACCUGUUCUUUAUUAACAAAACAUCCACACUGCAAAAGGAGCCAGUGCUAGGAAGGUUUUCAGACUAGCUGUACCUUACAUCUCACACAGCAUGAACAUUAGCAAGCACCCAGAGUGUCACUGGCAUGCCUUCCAUCUAUCAAGCCAAGACAGUACACUGUUCCCAACAUGCUUCAUGCUUUCCAGACAAGUCCUUCUCCUAGACACAACUCCUCUCCCAUCAGGUUUUGGGACUCCUACUCACCCUUCGAGGUUGGCUUGAAUGCCACUUUUUUCAUGAUCCACCCCAAAUCAAAGCAGCAUCCACCCUCGUCUGAACUUCCCUGCAAUUAUCCUCAGCUGUCCUCCCGCUCAGCAUGUUCUGCCUUGUGGUGGUCUUACUUCCCCUGCUGGAUUGUGUUAAGAGAAGGACCAGGUCUCAUUCCCUGUGGGCCCCUUAGUUCACCUAGCAAGGUGCCUUUUACAUAAAAGGUGCUCAGUAAAUUGCUGAAUGAAUGGACAAUGACUAAAGAGCGUCUUUGACCUACUUCAGCUGAGCAAGGUCACCUGUGGUAGGUACCAAAGUCUGAGAAGAACCAACUGGAUUUCCCCACCUGCCUCCCACGUGGUCUCCCUUGUCUCCUUUUCCUCCUCUUUGUCCGUCUACCCUGAGUUCCCAUCAGCUUCAUUCUCCCAACACUUCCCUCCUCCGUCUAUUAGUCCUCAUUCUGACAAUGGCUUCAAAGCUCUGAAAUCACAAGUGGCAGAGAGAAGAGAGCUCAAAGCCCCUCAUGUCCAACUCCUGUCCUGCACAGGUGUGGAAAAUGAUGCUCAGUGGCUUGCCCAGGGUUAACCUGGUACACGAAGCCCAGUACCGUGGGCAGGGCUUGGCCUUGGUUGGUACCACCCACACACCGGGGCUUUUGUCCUGAAACUUCUCACCUCCCCAUGUGCCUGUCAAGCCUGCCACUCCUAGUGACUGUACAGCCAGUCUCUCCCCUCACUGGGGCCCACCUGGAGGCAUUCCUUGUUUGCUUAGUCCCCUCCCUGGGCUGUCCCUCAUCCACCUACUGCCAACCCAUUCUCCCAGAGCUGGCCCACUAAAGCUUCACCCAUUUCCCCUCCCUGCUGAUCUUGCUAUCUCUGCACACAAUUCAGCACUUUAAUCUCAGCUUGUCACCUACUGUCCUUUACUCAUUUGUGUGUUUACUGUGUAUGUAUCUUGUCUCUCCAAAGACACCAGGAGGCCCUUACAGGAGCCUACCUUAGCCUGAGAGCUAGGUUGGUGACAAGGGCUCAGCUUGCUCUCAUGUGGAUUCAGUGCUGGACCUGAAGCCCUGACCCAUCAGCACUGGGCUCUGACCGGGGAAGUUGGCUGGUAUUUCUUCCAGGCAUGCUCCCAGGUACCAGGCACUAGGCAACCAUGAGGGGCCCUUCAGGACAUGCUCUGCCUCUGACUGGUUGGGUCAUCUCAGAUGAUUUGCAAAACUCUGAGUUGAUUUCCUCACCCUGGAAAGGUGGGAGCCCUGGCCGAAGGCCUUUCCAUACUGGGUGCAGCAAUAGGGCUUCUCCCCCGUGUUGCUCUACCAGUGAACCAGGAAGCACGAGCUGCAGCUGAAGGUCUUGCCACCCUAUGGGCACAUGUGUGGCUUCCACCCUGUGUGCACGACUAGGCUUGGUCCCUGACUGAAGGCCUUGCCACAUGUGCCACAGACAAAGGGCUUCUUCCCCAUGUGUACCCUCUGGGGCUAGGUCAGGUGGGAGCUCUGCAUGAAGGCCUUGCCACACUACCCACACCCACACGGCUUCUCCCAGGUGUGGAUUAUCUGAUGCACGAUGAAAGUGGAGCUCUGGCUGAAGGCCUUGCCAUACACAGUAUAUGCUUAAGAGAUUCCUGCUAGGGGCAGCCAGGCUGGAGUUGUGGCAGACCUCUUUCCUGAGUUCCUUAUAGUUCCGGCCCCUCUCUCCUGGGAGACCUCUUUUCUUUUGUUGGGGCCUGCCUGGUGUCUGGCUUGUCUCUCCUCACUUGCUUGUCUGCAGGCUGUUCCGAAUGCC